GACGAACGCUGGCGGCGUGCUUAACACAUGCAAGUCGAACGAAGAGCGACGGAAGCUUGCUUCUAUCAAUCUUAGUGGCGCACGGGUGAGUAACGCGGAAUCAACCUGCCCUUCAGAGGGGGACAACAGUUGGAAACGACUUCUAAUACCGCAUACUAUCUAACCUCGGCAUCGAGGAGAGAUGAAAGGUGGUGUCUACAUGUAAGCUAUCACUGAAGGAGGGUAUUGCGUCUGAUUAGCUAGCUGGGUGGGUAACGGCCCACCAAUGCGAUGAUCAGUAGCCGGUCUGAGAGGAUGAACGGCCAAAAUGGGACCGAGACACGGCCCAGACUCCUACGGGAGGGAGCAGUGGGGGAUCUUCCGCAAUGGACGAAAGUCUGACCGAGCAACGCCGCGUGGGGGAUGGCAGCCUUCGGGUUGUAAAGCUCUGUUAAUCGGGACGGAAGGCCUUCUUGCGAAUAGUGGGAAGGAUUGACGGUACCGGAAUAGAAAGCCACGGCUAACUACGUG
rnacentral:rRNA from 1 species